AUGCUAAAGCCACUAUUCCACUACGGUAUUUACUUUGCUGGCAGAACGGUAGCUUCCGAGUAAUUUAUUAGCUUGACCUGGAAGUCCCUCCU
rnacentral:lncRNA from 1 species